rnacentral:miRNA from 1 species
CUAAAGCUCGGCUAACGCCUCU